rnacentral:rRNA from 1 species
AGAGUUUGAUCCUGGCUCAGAACGAACGCUGGCGGCGUGCUUAACACAUGCAAGUCGAACGCGAAAAGGGACUUCGGUCCCGGAGUGGAGUGGCGCACGGGUGAGUAACGCGUAAGUAAUCUACCCCUGUAUCUGGAAUAACCCACCGAAAGGUGAGCUAAUACCGGAUACGUUUAUCUUGAUGCGAAUGAUGAUAAAGAAAGGUGGCCUCUUCAUGAAAGCUACUGUACAGGGACGAGCUUGCGUACCAUUAGCUAGUUGGUAGGGUAAUGGCCUACCAAGGCGACGAUGGUUAGCGGGUCUGAGAGGAUGAUCCGCCACACUGGAACUGGAACACGGACCAGACUCCUACGGGAGGCAGCAGUGGGGAAUUUUGCGCAAUGGGGGAAACCCUGACGCAGCAACGCCGCGUGGAUGAUGAAGGCCCUUGGGUCGUAAAAUCCUGUCAGAUGGAAAGAAAUGUACGGGGUGUUAAUAUCGCCUGUAUUUGACGGUACCAUCAAAGGAAGCACCGGCUAACUCCGUGCCAGCCGCCGCGGUAAUA